AACGAACGCUGGCGGCAGGCCUAACACAUGCAAGUCGAGCGCCCGCUCCGUGGUAGCCGGCGGACGGGUGAGUCACGCGUGGGACCGUUCCCUUCUCUGCCGGAUUCUCCCUGGUAGCUGAGAGUAAUGUCGCAUACGCUACUUUGGGAAAAGAUUCAUCGUAGAAGUGACGGCCCGCGUUGGUCUAGCUAGUUGGUGUGGUAAUGGCCGAUCACGCAUUCGAUCGUUAGCGGGGUUGAGAGGAUGAUCGGCCACACUGGGACUCAGACACGGCCCAGACUACUACGGGAGGGAGCAGUGGGGAAUCCUAGACAAUGGGGGCAACGAUGAUGGAGCCAGGCUGGGAGAGUGAUGAAGUCGUGAGGGAAGUAAAGCUCGUUCAGCUGGGAAGAUAAUGACGGUACCAGAAGAAGAAGCCCCGGCUAACUCCGUG
rnacentral:rRNA from 1 species